rnacentral:lncRNA from 1 species
UCCAAGGAACAAGACAUUAGAAUAGAAAAGAUGGGCACUAUGGUGUGCGUCAAGGAGACAACCACCUUUCCCGAACUCAGCUUCCUGUUUGUGCGUCUCGAGCCUUCAGGGGCAAUGUUCUUUUUCCUUCCUCCCUUAGUUCCAUAGCAGGUGGGUUGGUGUUGGAUUGAUGUACCUUGGCCUUCUUCUGGAAAAGCACAUUGGCUUAGCUUCAGCUUCACAUGUAGUUAACUGAAGGAAAAAAGAUAACAUGUUAUAUACAUGUGCAUACUUUAGCCAAUCAAAGUAAUUUUUUGAAAGUUUUCUUGAGCUAUUGAAUUUAUAAGUCAGUCGGGCAUAUAUUACAACACUAAAAGCCUCUUCUGUUGCUCCUUCAAUAAUAGCAAGGAAAGCAAGCAAGUGAACAAAAUACAGUGAUGUGGGUGUAGAUCGUCAGGAUUUCAUCAUUGCAUACCAUAUUUGUCUGGAUACUACAAAUGCAAGCACCGGUAUACCCUCUAAAACUGGCUAUCCCUGUCCAUUGGGUGGCUAUCCACUAAACUAAACACAUCCUCCAUGUCUCUCCGCAGCACUUUAUUAGGUUCUAAAAAUCCCCACCCUAUUAUCACUGCGUGUAGAUCUUAUUUCUAAAAUUUCAAAAUUAAUUUUCUAGACACCGCUUGGCAACACAUAAUUCAUGCCAGUGCAAUGGGCACUCCAUCCACAUUCUAGGCGACACCGAUUCACCACACCCAUAGGCUCCAUCUUAGCUCCGACAGUUGACAUACGAAAAAUAAGCUUAGUUGUGUUUGAUGAUCAUGAAAUGGAAAGACAUUCUUCAUUCUUUGUUUUGUCUUUGCCAUGCUCCUCAGACAUCCUCCUAUUUUAUCUCCUCCUCUCCAUUGUUGUGUGCCAUCACAAGCCUCCUACAGAAAAGAGAUAUGUACGUAGAGAGAGAAAGCCAUGUUAACAUAAUCACACAAAUUAUAUUCUUCUUUCCCUGCCAUUUUCUUCAUUGAACCCUCGCUCAGCUUCCGACUCCGUCCCAUUCCAUUUAUAUGGCAGCUCCCACCACCAUAGCUUCCAGAAAACACACAUAUUGUUCUUACUCUACUCACGAAUGAACACGAGGAAUAUUUGCAAGUGCUGGAACAAUAGCUUCGCAAUCUUCUCUUACCAUCUUAAAUGACCAAGCCAAUUACAUGCCAACAUGAGAAGAUAAAUAAAAUGGAAAUAUGCAAGCUCACUACCCAUUGCACAAACUCGCAUGAUAGAUUAAGCAAGCAAAUGUCUAACCAUACCAGCAGAAAAAGGCAGGAAACAACACGUUGUAGGCAAAAAUUAGUAAUGAGCAGAGGAAAUUAGUAACGAGCAAAUAAAUCUGAGAGGAAACCUCUGAACUAAUUGUCUAUAAUGUUCAAUGGCAAUGAAAAUGACACCUUCAUGUUCAAGAAAAUCAAUCCACGUCAAUCCUGAAAAUCGUCGUUCCUUCAAACGGGGCCAAGAAUGUGAUCCUGGUCUUGCCUCCCUAUCGUCAGAGCAAACAAAAAUCAACCUUAUUUUGUAUCCAGUCUUGGUAUAGAAAGGCACCACCGCUUCAAGACCGC